rnacentral:rRNA from 1 species
UACGUAGGGGGCGAGCGUUGUCCGAAGUUACUGGGCGUAAAGCGCGCGUAGGCGGUUUCUUAAGUCUGGUGUGAAAGGUUCAGGGCUCAACCCGAACAGUGCACUGGAUACUGGGAGACUUGAGUAUGGGAGAGGAGAGCGGAAUUCCUGGUGUAGCGGUGAAAUGCGUAGAGAUGUGGAGGAACACCGAUGGCGAAGGCAGCCCCCUGGGCUAACACUGACGCUCAUGCACGAAAGCGUGGGGAGCAAACAGG